rfam:Phaseolus vulgaris cultivar G19833 chromosome 6, whole genome shotgun sequence.
AGGUGCGAUCAUACCAGCACUAAUGCACCGGAUCCCAUCAGAACUCCGCAGAUAAGCGUGCUUGGGCGAGAGUAGUACUAGGAUGGGUGACCUCCUGGGAAGUCCUCGUGUUGCACUUC